ensembl:misc_RNA Y_RNA Y RNA
GGCUGGUCCGAAGAGUGGAUAACUCAAUUGAUUGUUCACAGUCAGUUAUAGAUUGAACUCCUCGUUUUACUCCUUCUCCCAUUCUCACUACUGCACUUGACUAGUCUUAA